rnacentral:piRNA from 1 species
UGAACAAUGGCCAUCGAUAAU